rnacentral:rRNA from 1 species
CGUGUAGGCGGAUUGGUAAGUCAGAUGUGAAAGCCCCGGGCUCAACCUGGGAACGGCAUUUGAAACUGCCUAUCUAGAGUGGUGGAGAGGGAAGCGGAAUUCCUGGUGUAGAGGUGAAAUUCGUAGAUAUCAGGAGGAACACCGGUGGCGAAGGCGGCUUCCUGGACACUUACUGACGCUGAGACGCGAAAGCGUGGGGAGCAAACA